rnacentral:siRNA from 1 species
UAUUUUUCAAGGACCUAUGU